rnacentral:rRNA from 1 species
GAUCAUGGCUCAGGAUGAACGCUGGCGGCGUGCUUAACACAUGCAAGUCGAACGGGAAUUACUUUAUUGAAACUUCGGUCGAUUUAAUUUAAUUCUAGUGGCGGACGGGUGAGUAACGCGUGGGUAACCUGCCUUAUACAGGGGGAUAACAGUUAGAAAUGGCUGCUAAUACCGCAUAAGCGCACAGAGCUGCAUGGCUCGGUGUGAAAAACUCCGGUGGUAUAAGAUGGACCCGCGUUGGAUUAGCUGG